GGGGACCGAGCAGCGCUAACUGCAGUCGAGCGAGUACUUGACCUAGUGGCAGACGGGUGAGUAAAUGUGGGAAUCUGCCUUUUGGUUCGGAACAACAUGGGGAAACCUGUGCUAAUACCGGAUAAGCCCUUACGGAGAAAGAUUUAUCGCCGAAAGAUGAGCCCGCACUAGAUUAGCUUGUUGGUAAGGUAAAAGCUUACCAAGGCAACGAUCUAUAGCUGAUUUGAGAGGAUGAUCAGCCACAUUGGGACUGAGACACGGCCCAGACUCCUACGGGAGGCAGCAGUGGGGAAUCCUGCACAAUGGAGGAAACUCUGAUGCAGCGAUGCCGCGUGAGUGAAGAAGGCCUUUGGGUUGUAAAGCUCUUUUGUCGGGAAAGAUAAUGACUGUACCCGAAUAAUAAGGUCCGGCUAACUUCGUGCCAGCAGCCGCGGUAAUACGAAGGGACCUAGCGUAAUUCGGAAUUACUGGGCUUAAAGAGCGCGUAGGCGGUUAAGUAAGUUAAUUGUGAAAGCCCAAAGCUCAACUUUGGAAUUGCCAUUAAAACUACUUAGCUAGAGUGUAUCAGAGGAAAGCGGAAUACCUAGUGUAGAGGUGAAAUUCGUAGAUAUUAUGUAGAACACCAGUUGCGAAGGCGGCUUUCUGGGGCAACACUGACGCUGAGGAGCGAAAGUAUGGGUAGCGAAGAGGAUUAGAUACCCUCGUAGUCCAUACUGUAAACGAUGAGUGUUAGAUGUUGGAAAUUUAUUUUCAGUAUCACAGCUAACGCGUUAAACAAUCCGCCUGGGGAGUACGACCGCAAGGUUAAAACUCAAAUGAAUUGACGGGGACCCGCAACAGCGGUGGAG
rnacentral:rRNA from 1 species